AGAGUUUGAUCAUGGCUCAGAACGAACGUUGGCGGCGUGGAUUAGGCAUGCAAGUCGAACGAAUCCCAGCUUUGUAGCAAUACCGAGCUGGGGGAAGUGGCGAAAGGGGCAGUAAUGCGUGGGUAACCUACCUCCGGGACGUGGAUAGCCAUUCUAACGAGUGGGUAAUACGCGGCGAUUUGAUUGGGGGGCAUCCCUUGGUCAGGAAAUGAAUUUCGCCUGGAGAGGGGCUCACGUGAUAUUAGCUAGUUGGUGAGGUAACGGCCCACCAAGGCAAAGAUGUCUAGCGGGUGUGAGAGCACGACCCGCGCCACUGGCACUGAGACACUGGCCAGACACCUACGGGUGGCUGCAGUCGAGGAUCUUUGGCAAUGAGCGCAAGCUUGACCAAGCGACGCCGCGUGUGCGAUGAAGGCCUUCGGGUUGUAAAGCACUGUCGAGGGGGACGAAGCCGCAAGGUUGACCGAUCCCUGGAGGAAGCACGGGCUAAGUUCGUGCCAGCAGCCGCGGUAAGACGAACCGUGCGAACGUUGUUCGGAAUCACUGGGCUUAAAGGGCGCGUAGGCGGCUUGCCAAGUCAGUGGUGAAAUCCCGCAGCUUAACUGCGGAAGUGCCUUUGAUACUGGCGAGCUCGAGGGAGGUAGGGGUAUGUGGAACUUCUGGUGGAGCGGUGAAAUGCGUUGAUAUCAGAAGGAACGCCGGUGGCGAAAGCGACGUACUGGACCUCUUCUAACGCUGAGGCGCGAAAGCUAGGGGAGCAAACGGGAUUAGAUACCCCAGUAGUCC
rnacentral:rRNA from 1 species